rnacentral:rRNA from 1 species
AUUGACCGCUGGCGGCCGGCCUAACACAUGCACAUCGCGCGGAGCGGCGGACGGGUGAGUAAUGCCUAGGACUCUCCCUGGUAGUGGGGGAUAACGUCCGGAAACGGGCGCUAAUACCGCAUACUAUCAGAUAAGCCUAGGUCGGAUUAGCUAGUUGGUGGGGUAAAGUCCUACCAAGGCGACGAUCCGUAACUGGUCUGAGAGGAUGAUCAGUCACACUGGAAAGGAGACACGGUCCAGACUCCGACGGGAGGCAGCAGUGGGGAAUAUUGGACAAUGGGCGAAAGCAUGAUCCAGCCAUGCCGAGUGUGGGAAGAAGGGCUGCGGAUUGUAAAGCACUUUAAGUUGUGAGGCGUUACCAACAGAAUAAGCACCGGCUAACGUCGUGCCAGCAGCCGCGGUAAUUC